rnacentral:rRNA from 1 species
CCUACGGGAGGCAGCAGUAGGGAAUCUUCCACAAUGGGCGAAAGCCUGAUGGAGCAACGCCGCGUGGGUGAAGAAGGUCUUCGGAUCGUAAAACCCUGUUGUUAGAGAAGAAAGUGCGUGAGAGUAACUGUUCACGUUUCGACGGUAUCUUACCAGAAAGCCACGGCUAACUACGUGCGAGCAGCCGCGGUAGAACGUAGGUGGCAAGCGUUAUCCGGAUUUAUUGGGCGGAAAGGGAGCGCAGGCGGUCGUUUAAGUCUGAUGUGAAAGCCUUCGGCUUAACCGGAGUAGUGCAUUUGAAACUGUGAGACUAGAGUGCAGAAGAGGAGGGUGGAACUCGAGGUGUAGCGGUGAAAUGCGUAGAUA